ACUGCAAGUGAUGAUAAACCAGACAGGGACAUCAACACUCCCCUCCGGAGGAUGAUGACUUGGUCUUGGGAAUCUCUCUGAUGCAAU